CACGUAGGGGGCAAGCGUUGUCCGGAUUUAUUGGGCGUAAAGAGCUCGUAGGCGGCUUAGUAAGUCGGGUGUGAAACCUCCAGGCUCAACCUGGAGACGCCACCCGAUACUGCUGUGGCUAGAGUCCGGUAGGGGAGCGGUGGAAUUCCUGGUGUAGCGGUGAAAUGCGCAGAUAUCAGGAAGAACACCCGUGGCGAAGGCGGCUCUCUGGGACGGUACUGACGCUGAGACGCGAAAGCGUGGGGAGCGAACAGG
rnacentral:rRNA from 1 species